CAUGGGUCUGCAGAAUAAGACUAAUUAAAACAGUUGAGAACAUGCAGUGCCAGUGCAGCUGUGCAGUGAUGAUGAUGAUGAUCUUGCACCAUAUACCAGCUCUGUGCUAGUGAUCCCGAAGAUCAUAUGACGAUUUGGAGACAGAAAAAGUACGACAAUUAAGUAAGUUAACGCGGAUGACUUCCUGAUGCAGGCCUAUUCAGUUAAAUGAUGCACUAUGGACGUAUCAUGUCUUGCUCUAACACGUUUGAACCUACCAUAAGAAGUGCUUAGUUGGAGUUUAAGGAGUUUUGUGCUGAUCAGCAGAGGGUUUACUACCGCUAGCUUGUUUAUAGAUCAUCACCCCAUUGUGCGGGGAAUCUAUGGAAUCUAUGGAAUCAUCGGACGGGAGACGAGAGCAGAGAGUUGCGGUUGUUCUUCCAUUCUCACUUGACCUGUAGUAAAGCUUCAUUAUAAAUGUGAACAUAGAUGCAAUGGCAGAGAGCAAAAUCUUUUCUCAUCCCCGGUUCUAAUCAUGUUACUUUAACAGACAAAAUCCAGGAAGUGAAAGAGCAGCCUCUACUGUUUGGAUGGAACCAGUUUGAUGCUGUGGGAUCAGGGUUAUAGACCGGGGGAGUAUCAAGGACUUAUAUGUCCUUAUACACUUCUGGAUUUGAUUUACACCUGGCUGUACAAGUAUGGUGAUCUGAGAAGUAUGAGCAUACUUCAUGAAGCCUGAAGCAGCUAUAC